rnacentral:rRNA from 1 species
CGCCUGUUUAUCAAAAACAUAGCCCCUUGAAAACUAUAAGGGGUAACGCCUGCCCAGUGGAAAUUCUAAACGGCCGCGGUAUCUUGACCGUGCAAAGGUAGCAUAAUCACUUGUCUCUUAAAUGGGGACCUGUAUGAAUGGCAACACAUUUUCUAACUGUCUCCUUUCUUCCCCUUCUAAAUUUCUACUAAUGUGAAGAAGCAUUAAUAAAAAAGAAAGACGAGAAGACCCUGUCGAGCUUCAACUUCCUAAAGAACAUAAGACCCUUUAAAAGAAAAUUCCCUCUUCAAAGAAGUUUUGGUUGGGGCAACCACGGAGUAUAAGAAACCUCCAGAAAAUUAACCCGAUUUUUCAUCACAUAAGACAAACAAAAGAACCAGAACCCCUGGUAAACAGAAAAAGUUACCGCAGGGAUAACAGCGUAAUCUCCUUUAAGAGUUCACAUUGACAAGGAGGAUUGCGACCUCGAUGUUGGAUUGGGGCCACCUUAGGGUGCAGCAGCUCUAACGGUUGGACUGUUCGUCCAUUAAAACCCUACAUGAUCUGAGUUCAAACCGGAG